CAAAGCACCGAGCUAUCACUCCUAAACCUUGUUCACCAUGGAAGGAACGGAGCCUAGCCGAUGGGUUGCAAUAGAAAUGCUGCAGCCUCCCCUUAUUUUGGAAAGGUGUCACAGUGA
rnacentral:ncRNA from 1 species